UUAGAGAUUGAGAGCUUAAGACUGAAUUUUUGAAACAGAAAUUGAGAAUUGAGAGUAAAAAUAUAGACUGAAUUUUGAGAGGGAGAUAUUUAAAAAUUAGGAGUAAAAAAAAAUCAGUUCGAAAGAAGACCUUAAGAGUAAGAGUUUUAGACAGCCAGCUAGUUCAAUUAAACUUGUUCCAUUGAAAAAUACCAAAAGUGCUAUUGCAUUGUUUCUCUGGUUCACAAUUUGAUCAAGUUUUCUUCUUUUUUGAUUACUGGAUUGCUGGAAGGUCACUAUUUGGUUCUCGUUUGAUUUUGGGUGUUCAAAUUAGCUCCUUAGGUUGCUUGUUUUGCUGUGUUUCUAUUGAGGUUGCCUGGGUUUGUUGGAAGCUAUUUUUGAGGUCCAAAUUACUUUGAUUACUGGAUUGCUGGAAGUUCACUAGUUGGUUCUCGUUUGAUUUUGGGUGUUCAAAUUAGCUCCUUAGGUUGCUUGUUUUGCUGUGUUUCUGUUGAGGUUGCCUGGGUUUGUUGGAAGCUAUUUUGAGGUCCAAAUUACUCUUGUUUUGGUUGAUUGUGGCUGCUGGUUAUCUGUUAUUGUGCUGUUGUUGUUGUGCUUGUGUUACUGCUGCACUACUGAUCUUCCUCUCCUUCUUUGGCAUUUCCAAAUACCAGGUACACGACUCUUAUACUGGUACAAUGUAGCUGGAACUGUUCGAAGCAUAAAAAAAAUAGCCUUAAGGCUCGAAGUUAUUAAUUUUUUUUUUUAGAUUCUGUAUAUGUAUAUGAUAGAUUUAGCUCAUUAGAAUGGCAUGGUUAAUUGCCAAUGUAUCAAUAGGCUCAAUCUGUAAUAAUUCAAGUUCAAUCCCAU
rnacentral:lncRNA from 1 species